UCAAUUCGACGUCGAUUAUCGUCGACGCAAACAGUUUGACAGUUCUCUUCUGUUGAUCUUGUUCGGACUUGAUUGCAACCGAGUCGAACCAGUUGUUGUUGCUUUUAGGCUUUUGGAGGAUUUUGGACAGUUAAUAGAUUUCGGUCUUCGUGGCGGAGGAGGAGGAGGACGGGAAAUAUGGUUUACUCGGCGGGACAUUCCGGAAGACGGGACGGGAAGGAACCAGUUUGCGAUCGUGGAAGCGGUUGGUGUUUGGUGUUUUACCGUCCGCGGGAUGUUGCGACGCAUACCUAAUGGAACUGGUGAGUCAUGUUUUAGAAACGAUGGAGGUGUGCUGGAAGUGCGAUUGGACGAUCGAAAUUCAAAAUAGGAUGAAUGGAACAAAACAAAUUCUCAACUUUUCAAUCCAAUAAUUCCAAACUGAAAAAUAAAAAAAUCAAAAAUACUAAAAAUU